rnacentral:rRNA from 1 species
GACGAACGCUGGCGGCGUGCUUAACACAUGCAAGUCGAACGGAAAGGCCUCUUUCGGGGGGUACUCGAGUGGCGAACGGGUGAGUAACACGUGAGUAACCUGCCCUUGACUUUGGGAUAACUUCAGGAAACUGGGGCUAAUACCGGAUAGGAGCUCCUGCUGCAUGGCGGGGGUUGGAAAGUUUCGGCGGUUGGGGAUGGACUCGCGGCUUAUCAGCUUGUUGGUGGGGUAGUGGCUUACCAAGGCUUUGACGGGUAGCCGGCCUGAGAGGGUGACCGGCCACAUUGGGACUGAGAUACGGCCCAGACUCCUACGGGAGGCAGCAGUGGGGAAUAUUGCACAAUGGGUGGAAGCCUGAUGCAGCAACGCCGUGUGCGGGAUGACGGACUUCGGGUUGUAAACCGCUUUCGCUCAUGACGAAGCUUUGUGUGACGGUAGUGGGUAAAGAAGCACCGGCUAACUACGUG